AAAGCAUCACCGUCCAAUAGUAGGUUUAGGAACCUGGUCAGGACUUAAUUGAAGCAGCCAUAACUGAACUUGUUAUGUGGAUUGUGAUGCUUUGGG
rnacentral:SRP_RNA from 1 species